CACCUCACCUCUCACCACGUCCAGCAGCCCAGCACGUUCACCCCUGAAAUUCCCCAAGGAGGCCCAAAACCACAGGGCACCCAGACUGACUUAGCCCUAGAACAAGCAUCCCAGCCCUGCUCUGCUCUGGCCUGAACACAAGGAGAUGGGUCACAACGAGGGGAAAAUGCAACAUGAUGUGUACAGCACCAGGCACAAAAGUCGGUUGCGCUGAUGACAAACCCCAAGGAUCAGGAGAGAAGCGAGGCCAGGGCCCCCUUUGUACUUGCCCCGACCUCACCCCCACCCCCAGUGUGAGGACGGGGACUGUGCCCCAGGCCCUCUAAGCGGAAUUUGAUGUACAAGAGCACUCAAGUACACAAGUCUGCGCUCCGGAAUGUCUUAUCUAGGAGUCAACCCAGAUGGAUCUGUCUCCAAGCAGCUCUUUACGCAAGAUCGUCCAGUCCACAUCAAAGGAAGGGAGAGGCGCCGAUAGAGGUUAGAGGGAGAUCAAAGCUUUCUCAAGCCAUCCGUGGCUCCACCUCUGCACGUACCCAUGCCCAGAGGAUGCCCUCCCUCGUGGGCGCUCACAAUCCCGCACACACACAGGAUGCGGGGUCACCUGCAGCACCACCCCUCUCUGAGCGCCCUCACUCAGCACCCAGCGUUCUUUGUUCACCUACACACCUCUUACCCACCGCUCCCUUUAUACCUGCCUUUGUACCUGCACUAGCAGUUCCCCGAAGACAGGAAUUGGGGCUCCCUCUGUCUCUCUGGGCCCUCUAUUGCCCAGCAAUGCCCAACACAUGGUGAAGCACGUGACAGUGAGUGGAAGAAAAGGCUCCUUGAAUGGUUAACUGAAUCCUCCCGUUAGACAGAUGAGGAAACCGAGGUCCAGAAAAGACUGCCAGGUCAUUCUCCUCAGACCACGCCCCCUCCCCUGCUGGGCUCAAGCCAGCACAGACACAGGGAAGCCCAGAAGGAAGGGCCCAGUCUUCCUUCCUCCAGUGACUGCCUUCUUCCAGACACCUGAGAGUCAUGAGUGUAUCUGGGGUUCUUGAGGGCUGAAGAUGAGGUCCUGCUGUAAAGAAGCUGUGAAGUCUGAGUUUGCACUUCAGUGGAAGGCAGCGGCAGUGACAGCAGCGUGUGGAGGGGAAAACUGGAGCCUUAGCUCGGAAGUUCCCAGUGGAGCCCGGGGCAGUGGAAUCAGCAUGGACUCCAGAGCCAGGCCAGCCUGGUUUUGACUCCUGACUCUGACGCUCAGCUGGGGGGUGACUUGGCAAGUUACUUCAUCCAUGAGCCUCAGUUCCCCUCACCUGUCAUAUAGGAAUACUAAUAUCUACCUGACAAUAUAGUUGAGAUGAUUCAAUAAGAACAUAAGCAAAAGUGUCUGUUAUGGACUGAAUGUAUCUCCCUAGAAUUCCUAUGUUGAUACCCUAACCCCUAGUGGGGCUGUAUUUGGUGAUGGGACUCUAAGGAAGUAUAAUAAUUAAGGUUAAAUGAGAUCACUGAUCUGAUAAGGAUCAGUGUCCUUAAAAGAAAAGACAUUAGGGAAUUCCCUGGCAGUCCUGUGGUUUGGACUCCGUGCUCUCACUGCCGAGGGCCCCGGUUCAAUCUCUGGUCAGGGAACUAAGAUCCCACAAGCCGUGCCCAUGCGGCCAAAAGAAAAGACACUAGAGAGCCUCCCCACCACACCCCCGCCCCAAGUACAAACAGAAGAAAGGCUAUGUGGCGGGUGACAUGGCAACAAGGCCGCUGUCUACAACCCAGGAAGAGAGGUCUCACCAGAAACCAACUACACUGGCACCCUGACCUCAGAGUUGCAGCCUUCAGAACAGUGAGAAAAUUAAUUUCUGUGGUUUAAGCCAAAGAGUCUGCGGUAUUUUGUUAUGGCAGCCCAAUCUACUACAAUGACUAAAUAAGUAGGAGGCCAUAAUUGUUCUCCCUCUUGACGUCUCCAGUUUCCCCUCUACUCUCAGGAUGGAAUAAGAAAAGAACCUGCUGCUCCUUCCCCCACAGAUCAGAGGCCACUGGAAGGAAGGUAGUGGUGUCGGGUGGUGAAAUUGGUACCCCAAAGAUAUCCACAUCAAAUCCCUGGAACCUCUGAGUGUUCUCUUAUAGGGCAAAAGAUGUGAUUAAGUUAAGGAUCUUGGGAAGUGGAGCUUAUCCUGAAUUGUCCAGGUGGGCCCUCAGUAUCAUCCCAACUGUUCUUAUAAGGGAGAGGCAGAGGGACAGAGAGAGGAGAAGACAUACAUACACAGAGAAGGAAGCAUGAGGACAGUGGGAGACUGGAGCCAUGUGGCCACAAGUCAAGGAACGCCUGCGAGCACCAGAGGCUGGAAGAGGCCAGGAGCAGAUUCUUCCCCAGCAUCUCGGGAGGUAGUGGGGCCCUGCCAACACCUUGCUUUCAGACUUCUGGUCUCCAAAACCGUGAGAAUACAUGUCUAUUUUUGUACGCUAACCAGCUUAUGAUAUAGCAGCCAUGGGUAACUAAGAUAGGGUUAUUGGUCCUGCCUCCAACUCAGCCAGCCCCCUGCCUCUGUACCUUUCAUCUCCUAGCCACACCUGGACCUGGACCCCCCAGGCACUCGCCCACUAAGCCCUAAAGCCCAAUCCUAAGUGGGAUGGGACACCUGCCACCCACAGCGUAGGCUGAGUCACAGCUGCCACCUGAAUCCACUGGACUCAGCACCAGUUCUCUGCGCCAUCAGACCCCAGUAGGAGUGGGAGGUGGUGUGCCUCCUGGGGCCAAGUAUGGUUAGUGGGGAAAAAACACUAACUUGGGAAAGUCAGGGGGUCUGCAUUUAAAUUUUGCCUCUCUAUGAACUUGAGCAAGUCACUUGAGCUCUCCGGGCCACAGUUUUCUCAUCUGCCGAUGCCUGGAUUGAAGUGCGUGAUUUUCCUGGGCACGUGCAAU